UACGUAGGUGGCAAGCGUUGUCCGGAUUUACUGGGCGUAAAGGGCGUGCAGGCGGUCUGUUAAGUCUAGGGUGAAAGCUCCCGGCUCAACUGGGAGAGGUCCUUGGAUACUGGCGGACUUGAGGGAGGCAGAGGAAAGUGGAAUUCCCGGUGUAGUGGUGAUAUGCGUAGAUAUCGGGAGGAACACCAGUGGCGAAGGCGGCUUUCUGGGCCUUACCUGACGCUGAGACGCGAAAGCGUGGGGAGCGAACCGG
rnacentral:rRNA from 1 species